rnacentral:tRNA from 1 species
GGCUAAGCAAUUAUCGGAUAAUGUUUGUUUUGAAAGCAUAUUGAAGGAGUUCGACUCUCCUCUUGGUCU